UCUGCCAGUGAGAGGCGGGA
rnacentral:misc_RNA from 1 species